AAUCAUGCAGCCCGGCCUGGCCGCGUGCGACCAGCGAAUCUUUUUCCUCAUGUGCGGGUCCCACCGCCACGUCAUCGUCUUCAAGCCCAGGCACCAAGCGUCGCACAGCACACGAACGUAACGCACAGUCAGUUUCUUCUGUUUACUCUUGAAUUGAUUCCCGGUGAUUUAAGCCACCAUUUGAUGCACCGUUUGUUGCUACUUAAGCUCCACACCGUCCUCUUCAUUUGCCCUCAAACCGCACAGACCGAGAGCCUCCAGGCUGCUCUAAUUUUACCUCGCAAUUCCACGGUACCGUCACGGUAAAUCGUCGAUUGCGCGACGGCGCCAUCUUCGACUGUGAGCACGUAGGCGAGAGGUUUUCCGGCGAGCAAUUUCCGGCGAACUACUGCACCUCGACGCCGCGACUUUGUCAUCGAGUUUCCCUUGUCAAGCUGAGCUUCACCGUCUUCCCCGCCAUCGCCAAGGAGCACCGGAACGUCAACGCCGGCGACAUCAGACAAUACUGCUGCGCGUUCCCAUUGUGAUUGUGCUGAUUGCAACGAGUGUUUUUGCGAAGAGUGUACCAACUCCUCAUCUCACCAAGGCAAGUGACACACACCAAAAGUCCCAGUUUUAAUUCUUGCACAGUAGUGUUUUUAUAGUAGACAUGUCUAGGGUUUAUGCUUUAUGCCUGCUAAUAAAUCCUAGUAGUUUAGGUACACCACUCCUAGACUCCUUUAACCGCCAUUAAAUUUAGUUGUUACCUGCUAUGCUAUGGAAAAUGUUUUGAUAGAGGUUAAGGAAAAACAACUAAGUUUAAUGAAUUACCUGGGUGAAUGGUGGAGUUAUG